rnacentral:rRNA from 1 species
UACAGAGGGUGCGAGCGUUAAUCGGAAUUACUGGGCGUAAAGGGCGCGUAGGUGGUUUUUAAGUCAGAUGUGAAAUCCCUGGGCUUAACCUAGGAAUUGCAUAUGAAACUGAAUAGCUAGAGUAUGAGAGAGGGAAGUGGAAUUUCCGGUGUAGCGGUGAAAUGCGUAGAUAUCGGAAGGAACACCAGUGGCGAAGGCGACUUCCUGGCUCAUUACUGACACUGAGGCGCGAAAGCGUGGGGAGCGAACAGG